rnacentral:misc_RNA from 1 species
UUUCCGUAGGUGAACCUGCGGAAGGAUCAUUAUCAAUUAUAGGCGGCAGCAAUGCCACUAUACACCCUUUGUCUUUUGCGUACUGUAUGUUUCCUCGGUGGGCUUGCCUGCCGGUUGGACAUUAUCAAACCUUUUUGUAGUUGCAAUCAGCGUCAGAAACAAAACAAUAAUUACAACUUUCAACAACGGAUCUCUUGGUUCUGGCAUCGAUGAAGAACGCAGC